rnacentral:rRNA from 1 species
UACGAAGGGGGCUAGCGUUGCUCGGAAUCACUGGGCGUAAAGGGCUCGUAGGCGGCCAACUAAGUCGGAUGUGAAAUCCCCAGGCUUAACCUGGGAACUGCAUCCGAUACUGGAUGGCUUGAAUUCGGGAGAGGGAUGCAGAAUUCCAGGUGUAGCGGUGAAAUGCGUAGAUAUCUGGAGGAAUACCGGUGGCGAAGGCGGCAUCCUGGACCGAGAUUGACGCCGAUGAGCGAAAGCUAGGGGAGCAAACGGG